AGUUCGGAUUGUAGUCUGCAACCCGACUACAUGAAGCUGGAAUCGCUAGUAAUCGCGAAUCAGAAUGUCGCGGUGAAUACGUUCCCGGGUCUUGUACACACCGCCCGUCACACCAUGGGAGUCGGAAAUGCCCGAAGUCAGUGACCUAACCGAAAGGGAGGAGCUGCCGAAGGUGGAGCCGGUAACUGGGGUGAAGUCGUAACAAGGUAAC
rnacentral:rRNA from 1 species